AGGUCAUUUCAGAGAGGGGUUUGCAUGGCUGUGAAACCAGCAGCUCUUAACGCAAUGACCUAAUAUUGAAAUCCUUGGCAGGAUGCCAUGGGCACUUGGUGUGCACUGUGGUCUAUUACUGGGGAGAUAUU
rnacentral:snoRNA from 1 species